rnacentral:rRNA from 1 species
CCUGAGAAACCCAAAAGAUCGAAUGGGGAGAUUCAUCGUCAGCGAUCCCGGCACGGGUGCGGUUCGUGAUGUCCGAGAUUUCGGUCUCGAGGCACGCGUCCGCAUGGUUUUAUUGCCGGGUGUCGUCGGCGUGCACUUCUCCCCUAGUAGGACGUCGCGACCCGUUGGGUGUCGGUCUACGGUCCGGGUGGGCGCCUGUCAUUUGUCACGCUUCGCGGCGUCAUGUGGCAGACCCCCGGUUCCCCGACCGACUGCCCGGCGGUACUCGCAUGGUAUCGAGUCGCAAAUAUUCGAACUGCGUCCGGCCCGUCGCAAGCCAAGGCCAGUUGUUUCCCGAAUGUUACGGACCUAGCGCCGUCUACGGGCCUGGCCGGCUGUUGGUCGGCGGUGUUCUGGGACUGGCUCUUAAUUAUGAUACCGGUCGGCGACGCUACUGCUUUGGGUACUUUCAG